rnacentral:rRNA from 1 species
AACAAACGCUGGCGGCGUGCCUAACACAUGCAAGUCGUACGAGAAAGGGUCCUUCGGGGCCUGAGUAAAGUGGCGCACGGGUGAGUAACGCGUGGAUAAUCUGCCCUUCAGUUGGGAAUAACUCAUCGAAAGGUGGGCUAAUACCGAAUAAUGCUGUGAGACCUCGGUUGAUCAGCCAAAGAGAGCCUCUGCUUGCAAGCCCUCGCUGAAGGAUGAGUCCGCGUACCAUUAGCUAGUUGGUAGGGUAAUGGCCUACCAAGGCGACGAUGGUUAGCUGGUAUGAGAGGAUGAUCAGCCACACUGGAACGGGGACACGGUCCAGAGUCCUACGGGAGGCAGCAGUGAGGAAUCUUGCGCAAUGGGGGCAACCCUGACGCAGCAACGCCGCGUGAGUGAGGAAGGUCUUCGGAUCGUAAAGCUCUGUCGGAUGGAAAGAACCGCAUAGGGGUAAACAGCCCCUGUGUCUGACGGUACCAUCAAAGGAAGCACCGGCUAACUCCGUGCCAGCCGCCGCGGUAAUAC